rnacentral:tRNA from 1 species
GAGGGUAUGCUCGGUGGUAGAGCACAUGCUUAGCAUGCAUGAGGUCCUGGGUUCAAUCCCCAGUACCUCCA